GAAGUUAACUUUCUCACUAGAGGCGAGGGAAGUGUAGUUUAGAGUAGUUUAACAAAGUUUCUGAAGACUGGGACUUUGGGCUGAAUAAGGGGAAUGGAUGCAAAACCCUGUGCCUUGCACAUCUCCCAAGGGCAACGAUGGGGAGGUGAUAGAACAGGAGAUCACAAUGGAGAAGGUGUGACCUGCCUGACCCCUCAGCAGUCUACCACCAGGUUGUCCUGGGCCAGCUCCACUCCGCUGUUUCCACCGGAUGCAAGGAGGCUUGGCAGUUACAGGCAUCACUCCAUGGGUGCAUCAUUCCAGAGUGAGAAGAGCCCAUACUCCAGACAAAGAAAUACAUCAGUAGAAAGCCCAGCUAGACCUCCAGAUCCUCUCCACCUCCGCAUCUGACGAUUACCCUCUUGACUAAUGAACACCUGCACGCCGUGGAUCCUGGCCCUCACCAGAAUGGAAUCUCUCAUCCUGGGCAUUAAACUCUCUGCUGCUGGCCCCUCUGACUAAACUGUUCCUCAAAAAGUUGUCCUUUCUAUUGUCUAUUGGGUAAUCCUUAAGUUGUUUUGCUGUGCUUACCUGUCUCUCCUAGCUGAAUUCAAGUCUCAGCCUACGUUUCCAAAGUACCUCUCUAUAAUGUUUAACUACAAAAUUUAUAAAGUGCAUGGUCCUUACCCAAGGGAGCUGCCCUCAGUGGCCCUACACCUUUAGCACCUGUCCUCUCACACUCAGAUAAACCAGCCUGAGUGUAAUGCUCAGCUGCAUAAAAAUAAAUUAGGACUGAAAAAAACUUUUUGUUAAGCACAGACUUAUUAAGAGUCUUAAGGACUCAUUGUAACCUAUAAUGCAUAAAAACAUAAUCAUUUGUAUUCUUCACAAACUACUCAGGUCUUUAAUGAAAAAGUCACAAGGAAAAAAUCCUAGCUCAAGGACAAGCCAUUAAAACCCUGUCAUAAACCAAAAAGACGAUGCCCCCUAAAAUGAAGUGUUUAAAGGGGCAUCAGAGGUGGGAGUGAUAAGGAAAAUAUCCAACACAGCCGUCCAGGUCAGCAAACUGCUUUUUUCCUCUGGUUAGCAAAGCCCUCCCAGCUUCCCCCUCCCCUCCUCCAGGCUCCUCUUUUGCCCUACGCAUGCCGAAAUGCCACGUAUCAAAAUAAUAUAAGUCGCUACCCUUGGUUGUGUGCAGGGCUCAGACCUUGGGAGAUUACUCCCCUCUGGGCCCGCUGGUGUGAAAUAAACCUCAAAACUCCAA